UUUCACUCGUUACUUUGGUCAGUUUCUUUCUUUCAAAGACAGCUGAGGGUCAUGAGGAUGACUCGAAUUACUAAAUUAGUCUUUAGUAUUAGUAUGUGUGAGUGAGUAAAUGGGAAUUUGUCUGUUUUUGAUAAAACGACUUCUAGAGUACUAUAACCCCCCCAAGGUCCUGUACAACACAAUCAUUCUGCACACACAUUCACUAUGGAACUAGGAUUGGGACCACAUUCAGCGUAACUUGUACAAUAUUCAGCGUAACUUGUGCCAAGUUUUGUAACUUCGAACAUGUUUCAUCACAUGUAACUUUGGAUUCGUAACUUGUAACUUUAGUUUUCUAACUUGUAAUUCUCAAUUUGUACUUGUAUUUCUUGUUUUGUAACAGGAACGUUGUAUUUUGUACAUAUAUUUUUAUUUUGUAAAAUCAAACUUUUAUUUUGUACAUUUACUACUCAUUUUAUAAAAUCAAACAUUCAUUCAGAAACAUGAAACUUUUGUUUUGUAACUAGAAGACUUCCAAAUUGAAAAAAAUCAAGGUACAAGUUUGAAAUCAAAACUCUCAAAAUACACAUUUCAUUCUACAGGUACAAACCAAAAUCCUACAGUGUUACAGAUCUUUUUGUCUUGAUUCUAGCGUCAGUGGGAGGAACUUGGGUGGAACCAAUGAGAGCACGAGUCUUGGCUACCAAUCACGUUUCUCGAAUUCCUGUCCAAUCAUUGGGAGAGGAGGGCAGAGCUGUAGAGACGACACUCCGAAUGUCCGAAUCCACAGGAAGGAUGCUUAUGAGUACGGAUUCUCGCCGGUCUAGCAAGGCCGGGUCCUUGAAGACCGCUAAAACCGGAAGUCAGCGGCUCUGAAUUCGGACCUUCACCUCUACGGUGACCCGUAGGUCCCGUCACAGCCGUGGCGGCAGCUACACGCAAAGGAAAAAUGCUAAAGCUAGCGAAAAUGGAGCAGGAAUAUUAAGGAGCUACAGCAGCUUCACGUCCAUCAGCAGCGUUUGUUCACAACCGUUUUCAGGUCAGCAUGCACUGUGCUGCACAUCUGCAUUGGUGCUGGUGAAGUUGUGGGUCUGGAGGAUGAGCCUGAGGAAGAUGUGUGAGGAGGAGGUCAGUGGUGCUCUGUCCUGGAGGAGGUCCCAGCAGACCACCACUACUGUUAACAGGCAAGUCAUCCACAGAGAUGUAACAGCCGUCGUCUGAGCCAGCCCAGCGGUCCCUGUAGAUGGACGAUGGAGUGGACAGUGAGAGGAAGCGUCCCAAAGCUCUCUCUGCAGACCGUCCUGUAUGAUGUUCCUCUGGCCAGAAACGUCCAGCCACGGGUCUGCUCCAGCCCUCCAUCCACGUCUGGAUCCUCCUGCAGCAGAUCCAGCUGCACUGUUAAAGACUUCCUGCUCACUCAGUUUAAAUAAAUGAUCCAGGAAGAGUCACUCAGGUUAAUCCUGCUUUAACCGUACAUAACUGGUCCAUACUGGUUUUGAUCUGUAAAUAAGUGUAACCUAUUAUAAAUAAUCUUGUCUCCUUACCAUCUUUUCAUUUUCUGUUCAUGUAACAUGUUCAAAAGCAUCUGUAAUUAAUAAAAUUGGUGAUAAAAUCAA